AAUAAACUAAAAUUAUUGGCUACAAGGGUGACCAGCUGCUCUAACUGUGCUUGGUGGUGAUCCCCAUUCCUUUGAUCAUGUUCCAGGAAAUCAGUAACCAUUCUCUCCCCCCUCCCUCUUCCAGCUCUUUCUUCACUUUCUGACACUCCAGGUGCUCAUCAGACCUGUGACCCAUGGCAUACAACAGGGCAUUCUCGCAUGCUUUCUCAUGCUGGUUGAGGUUCCUGUCCCCAAGGUUCCUGGGUGGCUGUGUCAGUGCUGCUGAGGUAGAAGGGCCUGCAAAGAAAAUUAAGGACUACGUGUGCAUCUGCUGCACUGCAUUAAAAUAGCCUUGGGUGCCUCCUUAGGAUUCCUUCCUCAGUUUUUUCAUGGGAUGUUUCUGUGUUUGACAUGGUCAGCACACUGUGUUAUCAGAGGCCUGUGGCAAGCCAGACCCAGAGCAGCAGCCGGCAGGACUGAGCACUACAUUAACAGAGAUGCGAGAGGAGAAAACGAUGCAAGAAAUGCCUGCAGACUCACGCAGACAGCACUGCACAAGAUAUAGCCUGCUCACCUUGGGAGGAGUUUUGUGAAAGACACAAGGGCUAGAAAUUAACUCGUUAAUUGGAAUGGAAGCUUAGAACAGGCCUGCACAACAUGCGGCCCGCGUGGGCUGACUGUGCGGCCCGCGGGCAAGCGGCGGGGUGGGGCUGUCGGGUUCACCCAGG